rnacentral:rRNA from 1 species
UACGUAGGGUGCAAGCGUUGUCCGGAAUUAUUGGGCGUAGAGAGCUCGUAGGCGGUCUGUCGCGUCGGCUGUGAAAUCCCGAGGCUCAACCUCGGGUCUGCAGUCGAUACGGGCAAACUAGAGUAUUGCAGGGGAGACUGGAAUUCCUGGUGUAGCGGUGAAAUGCGCAGAUAUCAGGAGGAACACCGGUGGCGAAGGCGGGUCUCUGGGCAAUAACUGACGCUGAGGAGCGAAAGCGUGGGGAGCGAACGGG